CCUACGGGGGGCUGCAGUAGGGAAUAUUGCUCAAUGGGGGAAACCCUGAAGCAGCAACGCCGCGUGGAGGAUGAAGGUUUUAGGAUUGUAAACUCCUUUUGUUAGAGAAGAUAAUGACGGUAUCUAACGAAUAAGCACCGGCUAACUCCGUGCCAGCAGCCGCGGUAAUACGGAGGGUGCAAGCGUUACUCGGAAUCACUGGGCGUAAAGAGCGCGUAGGCGGGAUAGUCAGUCAGGUGUGAAAUCCUAUGGCUUAACCAUAGAACUGCAUUUGAAACUACUAUUCUAGAGUGUGGGAGAGGUAGGUGGAAUUCUUGGUGUAGGGGUAAAAUCCGUAGAGAUCAAGAGGAAUACUCAUUGCGAAGGCGACCUGCUGGAACAUUACUGACGCUGAUUGCGCGAAAGCGUGGGGAGCAAACAGGAUUAGAUACCCCUGUAGUC
rnacentral:rRNA from 1 species